rnacentral:misc_RNA from 1 species
GUUUUCUAAUUAUGGUAAUUUUACCUUUCUCUUUCCGACCCACCAUCAAACGCGGUCCACAAAUCACCAAUAAAUGCCCUUCUUCUUCCGUUAGGGUUUCGCAGCCAUUUCUCGAUUUCUUCGUUGUCUUCUUCUUCUUCUUUGCUCUCUCUAUCGCUUUCCUUCACUGCUUCGAGCUUUCAUUAUACAUCUCUCGGCGGCUUAAUUAGGGUUUCUUCACCUUCAAUUUGGGUUUAAUUCUAUACACUGUUAUCGCAAUUUGAGUCCGUGAUUAAUGUUUUUUUUUGUCAUGUGAGAAUGCCUGCGACGGAUUAUCAGGGAUCGUCAGCGUCGUUUGGCCGUUCUAUUUUGAGCCUCCGCCGUGACCAGGUUCAUUCAAUGGAAGCCACGCAUGAGGCAUCCAGUUAUGAGCUGGAGCUUGAAGCUUUUCAAAGGAAGGUAGCGGAACGGUUCGUGGAUCUGUCUUCAGUCGGGUCGGAUGAUUUACUUUCGCUAUCGUGGAUCCGGAAGCUGCUUGAUUGUUUCCUGUCUUGUCAGGAGGAGUUUAGAGUUAUUCUGUUUAAUAACAGAUCGCAUGUUUAUAAGGCGCCUUUGGAUCGGUUUAUCCAUGAAUUUUUUGAGCGGAGCGUGAAGGCUUUGGAUCUUUGUAAUGCGAUUCGAGAUGGGAUUGAACAGAUCAGAGAGUGGAAGAAGCUAAUUGAGAUUGUUCUCUGCGCUUUGGACAAUCAGAGAAUGCUUGGGGAAGGACAGUUCCGUCGUGCUAAGAAGGCGUUGGUUGAUUUGGCCAUUUCAAUGCUCGACGAGAGGGAAUCUGCUGCCGCUCUGGCUCACCGGAACCGCUCCUUUGGCCGUCAAAAUGCUGCGUCUUCGAGAGACCAGCAUCAUCGGAAUUUUGGCCAUUUUAGAUCCUUGUCGUGGAGUGUGUCGCGGUCCUGGUCCGCUGCAAGGCAGCUCCAGGCGAUUGGGAAUAAUUUGGCGGCACCCAGAGCCAAUGAAAUUGUCUCUACUAAUGGAAUUGUGGUGGCUGUUUAUGCCAUGAACUCAAUUUUGUUGUUUGUAAUGUGGGCUUUGGUGGCAGCGAUACCUUGCCAGGACAGAGGGUUGCAAGUGCAUUUCUCGAUUCCUAGACAUUUUCCCUGGGCUGCAUCAAUACUGUCAUUGCACGAGAGGGUGCUUGAGGAGUCAAGAAAGCGGGAUAGAAGAAAUGCUUGCGGGCUGUUAAGGGAGAUUUAUCAGAUGGACAAGUGUACUAAAGGGUUGGCUGAAUUGGCUGAUUCUGUUCAGUACCCUUUGACAGAGGAAAAAGAGGCAGAGGUGAGGCUAAGAGUGCAAGAGUUGGGAAGGGUUUGUGAGGUAAUGAAGGAAGGGUUGGACCCACUGGAGAGACAGGUUAGAGAGGUGUUUCACAGAAUUGUUCAUAGCCGGACUGAAGGGCUCGACUCUCUGGUUAGAGUGAACCACAACGAUUGAUAUCAUUGCUUGUAAGGAUGGCAUGAUUUUGGGUGCUAAACAAGAGACACACAGAGGAUGAUUUAAGGCAUGCUUUAAGGCAUGCUUUCAAAAUAAAAGGGUAAUUGGCUAAAUCAUUUAUGCAGCUGCUUCUUUCUGAACCGUGGGAGGAUUACUUAACUGGGGAAUGCUCCGUCCAUAAACUGGCCUUGUAAGGCAUUUGCCUAAGUUCUCAGUGGAUGUUCAUGUCUUAUCUUACCUUUGUUGUCUCCAUGGAUGAGGACAGAGACAGAUCUUGUUUGUCCUCUCUAUAUUUUUUUAUAGUUCUAGUGAUUUUUUUUUUCAAUCCCCUUUUUGCAUACUAGGAGUAAAGAAUUCAAUUUGAAUCUUUCCUCAAAACUUCAUAAAUUGAUUCUGACCCCUAAUAAAUUACUGCAGGAUUUGGAAUUUCUCCUUGCAUUAUUGCAAUGCUGGCUCUUACCUAUUACAUUCAAAGCUCCAGCUUUCCCUAAGUAGGGAAGUUCAUUUGACUUUGAUUUGCUGGCAUAUGAAUGAAGGUCAUCUCAGUCUCAUCAUAUUUAUUUCUUUAUUUAAAUACUUAAAAAAGGGUCCAAUUUCUGAGUAUAAUAUCUUUGAGCUGUAUUCUAUAACAUCUCUGUUGACUUUUAUUCAGUCUCUUUUAAUGUCCCUCAGUUGCAUUUAGAAAAGAAUUUCUGUAGUUAUUGCAUCUAGAAUAGAAUUUCUAUUUGUGAUGGGGUACAUUUUUUUUUAUUACUUUUUCAAGCUUCCUUUUCUUGACAAGGACAUAGUAUACUUCAAAUGCCAUUGAAUCUUAUUCUGUGAGGAAAAGAUCACAUCGACCAAGUCCUCUGGGAUUAUCCGCAUGCUUUAUUUUGUGUGAAAUGUAUGCCUGAAGCAACAUUCUGCUGUUUAACCCAGCUUGUAGGAUGUUAACUUCAUGGAUCUCCAUCAAAUGAUAAUUCUUGACUGUCUAGAAGCAUGGAACCAUUGAAAAUUUUUUAGCAUUGAAUGGAUUUUUGCUUUUAUCACAUUGGAGAAAACAUUAUUGAGGUAGUUAGAAUUUUGGAUUGAGAUGUCCUUUCAAUAGCUGCAAUCUAAAAUCUAUUUGGUUUUUGACUUGUCUAGUAGUAAUAUGCUUGACUAACUUGACCGCAAAUUUGUGAUGCUUUGCUUAAAUGUAUGGUUUACAAAGCUUCCAUCAUACAUUUCUCUACCAUGAUUACUCCUUAGCCCCCUUUUCUUUUUGUCUAUUGUGAUCUAUAGUCACCCUUUACUUGGCAUUAUUCUUCUUCAUCCUUGUCCAAUAUGUGCUUCCCUUUUCAAAAGAAAAAUUGAUCUUCUUUCCUACUGAAAUAGUGGAAGCAAAUGCACUUGACAAGCGGGUUGGGUGCUAUCAUUACAAGGGAGGAAAUGCUUUGUUGAAUAUCUGUGCAUAUGGCUUGUCCUUCAUGUUUUUCGUUUUUUGUUGUUGAAGCGACCUAUAAAAGUUAGGAGUGCACUGUGAUGCUCUUGGCACAUCUGAAGAUUUUGUGUAGAAAUUUGUUUUGUUAAAUUUACAGGAUUGUACGAGGUUUAUUCCAGACAAAACUGUUGCUAUAUUUAUUUUACCUUUUCUGUGGAUAAUGUAAGUAAUAAUAGAUUCCCACUGGGUCAUGGAAGUAACUUUAAAUUUUUAUUGGUUCACAAGGUUUUCUCUGUUGCUGUCUAACAUGCAGCAAAAUGUUACUGAUUCAUAGAAUUCAUAGCUGAAUUUCUAGCCACAGGUAGUUCAGCUUGUAAUCGUUAAUUAUUCGCUUUUGUUUGUCAGCAAUAGCAAUUUGUUCUGUUGCAUGUCCUGAUCCUGAAGCUCAUGAAUGUACGUAUGUAAUUUUUUUUUCUGCUUAGUCUCUGCAUACACUUGUAGAAGGCUUAGCAGAAGUUGGAGAAAAGUAGUUGUCACCUGUGUCCUGUGUUUUGCCAGUGGUUGGUACACAAUGCUUCUCCACUGUAAACAGUUGGUCCAAAAAUAAUAGACUUGGAAGCCUUGAU